rnacentral:lncRNA from 1 species
UGAAAACAUUCUUCGAUUCAGACUGCAUUGGGAUUCAUGUUUUAAGAACCCCAAAGCAAAGCAAGGGGCUUCAAAGCUCCUUCGCUACAAAUCCAAAACCCUCGUUAUGAUUCUUCACUUCACCAUUCAAAGUUUUAUACCCUGCGUGCGUUGCGGCGCGUUGGGACGGAACUGUAGGUUUUUAGUGACUGCAGGGGUUGCCGGUGGAUGAGAAGAUGUUGCGGAUCUAUGGAAUAACGAUUGCUGGUGGAUGAGAAGAUGUUGAGGGGAUCUAUGGAAUAACAGAUGUACCUGUGAUAUAAGUCGCAGUUAGACCUUUUAGUUUGGGAUCGAACUUUCACAGUUUGCGUUUCCUUAUUUCAUCAGUCGCAGUUCAAAUCAUUUUAAUUUGACAUUGUUUUAAGAAAAAAACGGUUGUUCAAAUAUAAGUUUGUAUGUAUUUUAACUGAGAUAA